rnacentral:sRNA from 1 species
CUGACAGCGCCGAAUGCAGAAGUCCUCUCUUUACCCACAGAAAAGGCGCAGCACGGGCAGUGACAGUGCAAGUUUUCUCCUUGCUGCAAAGUGCAUCUGCCCUAACCCAGAGGUAACACAGGGAGUCUAUUCUCUCUGUGGCCAUCAUGGGCUUGUCUGCA